AACGUAGGAGACAAACGUUAUCCGGAGUUAUUGGGCGUAAAGCGCGCGUAGGUGGCUUCGUAAGUCCGUUGUGAAAGUCAAAGGCUCAACCUUUGAAUGCCGAUGGAUACUGCGGAGCUAGAGUACGGAAGAGGCGAGUGGAAUUCCUGGUGUAGCGGUGGAAUGCGCAGAUAUCAGGAGGAACACCAAUAGCGAAGGCAGCUCGCUGGGACGUUACUGACACUAAGGCGCGAAAGCGUGGGGAGCGAACAGG
rnacentral:rRNA from 1 species